UAAAGCUAAUAAGAGCGCAGGGCGGAUGCCUUGGCAUUGGGAACCGAAGAAGGACGUGGUUAACUGCGAAAAGCUGCGGCGAGUUGUAAGCGAACAAAGACCCGCAGAUAUCCGAAUGGAGCAAUCCAUAUGAGAGAAGCUCAUAUAUCAUAUACUGAAUACAUAGGUAUAUGAGGGGAACCUCCUGAACUGAAACAUCUAAGUAGGGAGAGGAAGAGAAAUCAACCGAGAUUUCGUAAGUAGUGGCGAGCGAAAGCGAAAGAGGCCAAACCGUAAUCAGCAAUGAAUACGGGGUUGCGGACUGCAAUUAGCAUUGUCAAAGCCUAGUUGAACAGGAUGGGAAGCCUGACCAAAGAAUGUGAGAGUCAUGUAAAUGAAAGGCAGAGACAGCGAGCAGGAUCCAGAGUACCGCGGGACACGUGAAACCCCGUGGGAAGCCGGGGGGACCACCCUCCAAGCCUAAAUAUUCCCCAAUGACCGAUAGCGAAGAGUACUGUGAAGGAAAGGUGAAAAGAACCCCGGGAGGGGAGUGAAAAAGAACCUGAAACCCUGUGCUUACAAGCACUGAGAGCACGUCAAAGUGUGAUCAGGUACCUUUUGUAGAAUGGUCCGGCGAGUUAUCAUAUGUAGCAAGGUUAAGGACUUAAGGUCUGAAGCCGAAGCGAGAGCGAGUCUUAACAGGGCGAGAAGUUACAUGUGAUAGACCCGAAACCGAGUGACCUAGCCAUGUCCAGGCUGAAGUGGAGGUAAAACUCCAUGGAGGGCCGAACCGACCCCCGUUGAAAAGGUGGCGGAUGAGGUGUGGCUAGCGGAGAAAUUCCAAUCGAACUCGGAUAUAGCUGGUUCUCCCCGAAAUAGCUUUAGGGCUAGCGUUGUAUUAGAUUACCGGAGGUAAAGCACUGAAUGGGCUAGGGGCCGAGAGGUUACUGAACCUUAUCAAACUAAGAAUGCCGGAUAAUUGAUGUACAGCAGUCAGACUAUGUGAGAUAAGUCUCAUAGUCAAAAGGGAAACAGCCCAGACCCACAGCUAAGGUCCCGAAAUAGAUUUAAGUGGAAAAGGAUGUGGGGUUGCACAGACAACCAGGAUGUUGGCUUAGAAGCAGCCACUCAUUAAAAGAGUGCGUAAUAGCUCACUGGUCGAGUGACCCUGCGCCGAAAAUUCAACGGGGCUAAAAUCUAUACCGAAGCUUGGGCUGCAAUACGAAAGUAUUGCGGGGUAGGGGAGCGUCGUAUAAGAGGAGAAGUCAUAGCGGAAGCGAUGGUGGAUUUUAUACGAGUGAGAAUGCCGGAAUGAGUAGCGAGAAUUAUGUGAGAAUCAUAAUGGCCGAAAGUCUAAGGAUUUAGGAGGAAGGUUCGUCCGCUCCUAGUAAGCCGGGAGCUAAGGCGAGGCGGAAACGCGUAGCCGAUGCACAUACGGUAGAAAUUCCGUAGCCUCUGAAAGAUUAAAGCACAAGGACACUUGAGAAGCGUUUAGCCGGGCGUUGGUUGCCCCGGUCGUAAGGGACUCCGAAUGGAGGAAGUAAAUGUGGAUUGAGGCAAGAAAAGUUGUGUGAAUAUCUGAAGAGCCCGUACCGCAAACCGACACAGGUAGAUCAGGAGAGAAUUCUAAGGCCAACGGGAGAAGGGUUGUUAAGGAACUCGGCAAGUUGACCCCGUAACUUAGGGAGAAGGGGUGCUCGAAAGAGCCGCAGAGAAUAGGCCCAAGCGACUGUUUAGCAAAAACACAGCUCUAUGCUAAAUCGAAAGAUGACGUAUAUGGGGUGACACCUGCCCGGUGCUGGAAGGUUAAGAGGAGAGGUGAGCGCAAGCGAAGCUUUGAAUUGAAGCCCCAGUAAACGGCGGCCGUAACUAUAACGGUCCUAAGGUAGCGAAAUUCCUUGUCAGGUAAGUUCUGACCCGCACGAAUGGUGUAACGAUUUGGGCACUGUCUCAACAACCCACCCGGCGAAAUUGUAGUACCGGUGAAGAUGCCGGUUACCCGCGACUAGACGGAAAGACCCCAUGGAGCUUCACUGUAGCUUAAUAUUGAGUUUUGGUAUUUCAUGUACAGGAUAGGUGGGAGACUGAGAAGCAUAGGCGUCAGCUUAUGUGGAGUCGCUGUUGGGAUACCACUCUUGAAGUGCUGAAAUUCUAACCUGCGCCCUUGAAUCAGGGCGGGGGACAUUGUUAGGUGGGCAGUUUGACUGGGGCGGUCGCCUCCAAAA
rnacentral:rRNA from 1 species